rnacentral:rRNA from 1 species
UACGUAGGGUGCAAGCGUUGUCCGGAAUUACUGGGCGUAAAGGGCGCGUAGGCGGCCUACUAAGUCGGACGUGAAAUCCCUCGGCUCAACCGGGGAACUGCGUCCGAUACUGGUGGGCUCGAAUCCGGGAGAGGGAUGUGGAAUUCCAGGUGUAGCGGUGAAAUGCGUAGAUAUCUGGAGGAACACCGGUGGCGAAGGCGGCAUCCUGGACCGGUAUUGACGCUGAUGCGCGAAAGCCAGGGGAGCAAGCGGG